GUUGACCUCGGAUCAGGUAGGAAUACCCGCUGAACUUAAGCAUAUCAAUAAGCGGAGGAAAAGAAACCAACAGGGAUUGCCCCAGUAACGGCGAGUGAAGCGGCAACAGCUCAAAUUUGAAAUCUGGCCCCAGGCCCGAGUUGUAAUUUGCAGAGGAUGCUUUUGGCGCGGUGCCUUCCGAGUUCCCUGGAACGGGACGCCAUAGAGGGUGAGAGCCCCGUACGGUUGGACACCAAGCCUUUGUAAAGCUCCUUCGACGAGUCGAGUAGUUUGGGAAUGCUGCUCUAAAUGGGAGGUACAUUUCUUCUAAAGCUAAAUAUUGGCCAGAGACCGAUAGCGCACAAGUAGAGUGAUCGAAAGAUGAAAAGCACUUUGAAAAGAGGGUUAAACAGCACGUGAAAUUGUUAAAAGGGAAGCGCUUGUGACCAGACUUGCGUCCGGUGAAUCACCCAGCUCUCGCGGCUGGGGCACUUCGCCGGCACAGGCCAGCAUCAGCUUGCCGUCGGGGACAAAAGCUUCAGGAACGUAGCUCCUCUCGGGGAGUGUUAUAGCCUGUUGUAUAAUACCCUUCGGCGGGCUGAGGUACGCGCUCCGCAAGGAUGCUGGCGUAAUGGUCAUCAGCGACCCGUCUUGAAACACGGACCAAGGAGUCAACCUUAUGUGCGAGUGUUUGGGUGUUAAACCCCUACGCGUAAUGAAAGUGAACGCAGGUGAGAGCUUCGGCGCAUCAUCGACCGAUCCUGAUGUUCUCGGAUGGAUUUGAGUAAGAGCAUAUAGGGUUGGACCCGAAAGAAGGUGAACUAUGCGUGUGUAGGGUGAAGCCAGAGGAAACUCUGGUGGAGGCUCGCAGCGGUUCUGACGUGCAAAUCGAUCGUCAAACAUGCGCAUGGGGG
rnacentral:rRNA from 1 species